rnacentral:rRNA from 1 species
CGUAGGGGGCUAGCGUUGUUCGGAAUCACUGGGCGUAAAGGGCGCGUAGGCGGGUCUUUAAGUCAGGGGGGAAAUCCUGGAGCUCAACUCCAGAACUGCCUUUGAUACUGAGGAUCUUGAGUACGGGAGAGGUGAGUGGAACUGCGAGUGUAGAGGUGAAAUUCGUAGAUAUUCGCAAGAACACCAGUGGCGAAGGCGGCUCACUGGCCCGUUACUGACGCUGAGGCACGAAAGCGUGGGGAGCAAACAGG